UACGUAGGGGGCAAGCGUUGUCCGGAUUUAUUGGGCGUAAAGAGCGUGUAGGCGGCCAUUCAGGUCAGCUGUGAAAACUCGAGGCUCAACCUCGAGACGUCGGUUGAAACCGUUUGGCUAGAGUCCGGAAGAGGAGAGUGGAAUUCCCGGUGUAGCGGUGAAAUGCGCAGAUAUCGGGAAGAACACCCGUGGCGAAGGCGGCUCUCUGGGACGGUACUGACGCUGAGGCACGAAAGCGUGGGGGAGCAAACAGG
rnacentral:rRNA from 1 species